rnacentral:misc_RNA from 1 species
GGGAGAUUCUGAAAAUUAAUGAAGCAAUGGCCAACUCCUAUGCAUUCAAUAACUUACACAUUAUAUCAGAAUCAAAAUGUGAAGAAAUCUUGAUACAGUCUCCUUGGUAUAUUGGCGAAUAUGAAUAUUUUAAGAGGAAAAGAAAGAAAGAAAGAAGGCUGUACAAUUUCAAAAAUACGUGGAUGAAGUGUCAAUGCUUGAUAUAUUAGUGGAGAAUAGAUAGGUACAAAGAAAGAGACUUGGAUCUUUAUUCCUUAUGAUCUCAAUCAGGGCAUAUGGUACAUA